ensembl:lncRNA LINC00960 long intergenic non-protein coding RNA 960
GUCCUCUUGGUGCUGUGGGCCCUGAAAGUUGUCGAGUGCGCCUGUCCCUGUGGUGGGAGCAGUGGCGCCGAGCGUGCCCACGGGCCGCCGCUUGGGUUUCUCUCGUGUUCAGGGUAGUAUGGACGUGGACAAUGGCAGUGGCCCCUGGCUGGCCCAAGAGCCGGGUCCAGAUACGCGCGCCUGAUUCCAGGCGUCAUAACCAACCCGGGGCCGCGAGGCUGGGAUCAGGCACCCCGGAGCCGCUUGCCCGUGGCCGGGCUGCUCUCCCCCUCUAAGCCUAAGCACCGCCAGUCGCGGCGCUGCGCUUUCCGCCGACCUCCCAGAGCGUCCCGCCGUCGCCGGCGGCCAGCCUCGCGCAGGACCAGUGUGGCGCCGCCCUGCUGUUGCUGGGGGGCGCCCGAGGCCUCCAUUCCUUGCCCAGGCUUCCGGCUCUCGGGGCGGCCUCCCUUCCGCCCACGCUCCAGGGCUUCCCCGGCUCCCGAGCUCCGAGCUUCCACCACAUCGGCCGGCUCAGGACAGGGCUUCCACUGUAAAGUCGGCUGCCAGACGUGUUGGAGCUCACCGGAUUUGUCCCUGGUGCCUUAUUUAGUUCACUUGGUGAGGUCAUGUUUUUUUCCUGGAUGGUGUUGAUGGUAGUAGAUGUUCUUCAGUGUCUGGACAUUAAAAUCUUGGGCAUGCAGCACCAUAUGAGAGGUUUAAAAAAUAAAAUUAAAAAAGAGAAAAGAACCCAGAGUUGAUCUCUGCAGCAUGCCAUCACUGCUGGGGAUGAGGAAACGGUGAUUUCAGGACUGUUUUUUCUGUCUCUUCAGUGCCUCUUUCAGUGAUCUGAGGUUAAAACCAGACUAUGGAGGAUUCAUCAACAGACCAGGAAGCAACAGCCUGGGCUCCAGAAUUGACCAGUAGUCCGUGCACAGACGAGGAGAGGUCCCAUGAAACUUCGGCGCAGUCUGGGAACCGAGCUCUUUUUGUAACAAGUUGUUUGUCAGGAGGCCCGGUCAUGAAAGCCCUUCCUGACUGGGCUCAAGGAAUACAAAAAGGACAACUUGUUUUUGCCAUUGUCUGUUGUUUUUCAAUAACUAGUUCUCCGAAACAGCACUGGAUGAAUGCCUCAAGGGGCUCACACAACUCGUUCCAGGACUUAGUGACCAUUGUUUCUGUCCCUGUUCAAUAGAGUUCAAAUUUAAUAUUUAAAUUUUGCUCCACAAUGUGCCAUAUUAUCUGUAUCCAACCUGUCAUUGGGCAUUUAGGUUGAUUCCAUGUCUUUACUAUUGUGAAUAAUGCUGCAAUAAACAUUUACGUGCUUGUGUCUUUAUGAUAGAACAAUUUAUAUACCUCUGGGUAUAUACCCAGUAAUGAGAUUGCUGGGUCAAGUGAUAGUUCUGCUUUUAUCUCUUUCGAGGAGAGCACUGUUGUGCUUUCCACAAUGGUGGGACCAAUGUACACUCCCAAGCAUCUGUCAUUUUUUGACUUUUUCAUAAUAGCCAUUCUGACUGGUGUGAGAUGGUGUCUCACUGUGCCUUGGAUUUGCAUUUCUCUAAUGAUCAGUGAUACUGAGCUUUGUAUUCUAUGGUUGUUGGUCACAUGUAUGUAUUCUUUUGAAAAGCAUUCAUGUCCUUUGCCCACUUUUUAAACAUUUUUUUAUUUCCAUAGGUUUUAGGACAACAGGUGGCAUUUGGUUACAUUAGUAAGUUCUUUAUUGAUUUGUAAGAUUUUGGUGCAUCCAUCAACUCAUCUGUAUACACUGAACCCAAUUUGUAGCCUUUUAUCACUCACCCCCUUCUCCCGUUUCUCCCUGAGUCCCCAAAGUCUAUUGUGUCAUUCUUAAGCUUUUGCAUCCUUAUAGCUUAGCUCCCAAUUAUAAGUGAGAAUAUAUGAUGUUUGGUUUUCCAUUCCUGAGUUACUUCACUUAGAAUAAUAGUCUUCAAUCCCAUCCAGGUUGCUGCAACUGCCAUUAAUUCAUUUCCUCUUUAUGGCUGAGUAGUAUUCCAUUGUGCAUAUAUACCACGGUUUCUUCAUCCACUCGUUGAUUGAUGAGCAUUUGGAUUGGUUCAACAUUUUUGCAAUUGCAAAUUGUGCUGCUAUAAAUAUAUGUGUGCAGGUA